rnacentral:tRNA from 1 species
UACUAUUCUCUUGGGAGACAAUGUUUUGAAAACAUAGGAGAAGUGUUCGAAUCACUUAAUAGUUU